rnacentral:rRNA from 1 species
AUUGAACGCUGGCGGCAGGCCUAACACAUGCAAGUCGAACGGUAACAGGAAGCAGCUUGCUGCUUCGCUGACGAGUGGCGGACGGGUGAGUAAUGCCUGGGAAGCUGCCUGAUGGAGGGGGAUAACUACUGGAAACGGUAGCUAAUACCGCAUAAUGUCGCAAGACCAAAGAGGGGGACCUUCGGGCCUCUUGCCAUCGGAUGUGCCCAGAUGGGAUUAGCUUGUUGGUGGGGUAACGGCUCACCAAGGCGACGAUCCCUAGCUGGUCUGAGAGGAUGACCAGCCACACUGGAACUGAGACACGGUCCAGACUCCUACGGGAGGCAGCAGUGGGGAAUAUUGCACAAUGGGCGCAAGCCUGAUGCAGCCAUGCCGCGUGUAUGAAGAAGGCCUUCGGGUUGUAAAGUACUUUCAGCGGGGAGGAAGGGAGUAAAGUUAAUACCUUUGCUCAUUGACGUUACCCGCAGAAGAAGCACCGGCUAACUCCGUG